GAUGAACGCUGUCUACAGGCUUAACACAUGCAAGUCGAGGGGAAACGACGGGGAAGCUUGCUUCCCCGGGCGUCGACCGGCGCACGGGUGAGUAACGCGUAUCCAACCUGCCUCUGACUGAGGGAUAACCCGUCGAAAGUCGGCCUAAUACCUCAUGGCAUCGUCUGCGGGCAUCCAACGACGAUUAAAGAUUUCAUCGGUCAGGGAUGGGGAUGCGUCUGAUUAGCUUGUUGGCGGGGUAACGGCCCACCAAGGCUACGAUCAGUAGGGGUUCUGAGAGGAAGGUCCCCCACGUUGGAACUGAGACACGGUCCAAACUCCUACGGGAGGCAGCAGUGAGGAAUAUUGGUCAAUGGGCGGGAGCCUGAACCAGCCAAGUAGCGUGCAGGAUGACGGCCCUAUGGGUUGUAAACUGCUUUUAUGCGGGGAUAAAGUGAGGGACGUGUCCUUCAUUGCAGGUACCGCAUGAAUAAGGACCGGCUAAUUCCGUG
rnacentral:rRNA from 1 species